GGGCCCGCACAAGUAGUGGAGCAUGUGGUUUAAUUCGAAGAUACGCGCAGAACCUUACCAACACUUGACAUGUUCGUCGCGACUUUAAGAGAUUAGAGUUUUUCGGUUCGGCCGGACGAAACACAGGUGCUGCAUGGCUGUCGUCAGCUCGUGUUGUGAAAUGUUGGUUAAGUCCCGCAACGAGCGCAACCCUUAUCCUUGUUUGCCAGCACGUAAUGGUGGGAACUCCAGGGAGACUGCCGGUGAUAAACCGGAGGAAGGUGGGGACGACGUCAAGUCAUCAUGGCCCUUACGAGUAGGGCUACACACGUGCUACAAUGGCAUAUACAGAGGGCAGCGAGACCGCGAGGUGGGAGCG
rnacentral:rRNA from 1 species